CUAAGACCUAGACAACCAGGUGAGAGGUGUUCCUUACUGUGACCUAGACAACCAGGUGAGGGGAGUUCCUUACUAAGACCUAGACAACCAGGUGAGAGGAGUUCCUUACUGUGACCUAGACAACCAGGUGAGAGGAGUUCCUUACUGUGACCUAGACAACCAGGUGAGAGGAGUUCCUUACUGUGACCUAGACAACCAGGUGAGAGGAGUUCCUUACUGUGAUCUAGACAACCAGGUGAGGGGAGUUCCUUAUUAAUCAGGGACCUUAAUUCAUCAAUCAAUCAAGUGCAAGGGUGGAGCAAA
ensembl:lncRNA